rnacentral:rRNA from 1 species
UACAGAGGAGCCAAGCGUUGUCCGGAUUGACUGGGCGUAAAGCGCACGCAGGCGGUCUUGCGCGUGGGGUGUGAAAUCUGGCCGCUUAACGGCCAGGCGCCAUCCCAUACGGCUCGACUGGAGUGAUGCAGAGGUCGAUGGAAUUGCCGGUGUAGUGGUGAAAUGCGUAGAGAUCGGCAGGAACACCAGUGGCGAAGGCGACUACCUGGCCUGUUCUUGACGCUGAGGCGCGAAAGCUAGGGGAGCAAACGGG